UACAUGGGGUGCAAACGUUGCUCGGAAUUAUUGGGCGUAAAGCGCACGUAGGCGGUCCGUUAAGUCGGAUGUGAAAGCCCCCGGCUCAACCGGGGAAGUGCAUCCGAAACUGGCAGGCUAGAGUACGAAAGAGGGUCGCGGAAUUCCCGGUGUAGAGGUGAAAUUCGUAGAUAUCGGGAGGAGCACCGGUGGCGAAGGCGGCGACCUGGGUCGAUACUGACGCUGAGGUGCGAAAGCGUGGGGAGCAAACAGG
rnacentral:rRNA from 1 species